rnacentral:rRNA from 1 species
AAAUUGAAGAGUUUGAUCAUGGCUCAGAUUGAACGCUGGCGGCAGGCCUAACACAUGCAAGUCGAACGGUAACAGGAAGCAGCUUGCUGCUUUGCUGACGAGUGGCGGACGGGUGAGUAAUGUCUGGGAAACUGCCUGAUGGAGGGGGAUAACUACUGGAAACGGUGGCUAAUACCGCAUAACGUCGCAAGACCAAAGAGGGGGACCUUCGGGCCUCUUGCCAUCAGAUGUGCCCAGAUGGGAUUAGCUUGUUGGUGAGGUAACGGCUCACCAAGGCGACGAUCCCUAGCUGGUCUGAGAGGAUGACCAGCCACACUGGAACUGAGACACGGUCCAGACUCCUACGGGAGGCAGCAGUGGGGAAUAUUGCACAAUGGGCGCAAGCCUGAUGCAGCCAUGCCGCGUGUAUGAAGAAGGCCUUCGGGUUGUAAAGUACUUUCAGCGGGGAGGAAGGUGUUGUGGUUAAUAACCACAGCAAUUGACGUUACCCGCAGAAGAAGCACCGGCUAACUCCGUGCCAGCAGCCGCGGUAAUACGGAGGGUGCAAGCGUUAAUCGGAAUUACUGGGCGUAAAGCGCACGCAGGCGGUCUGUCAAGUCGGAUGUGAAAUCCCCGGGCUCAACCUGGGAACUGCAUUCGAAACUGGCAGGCUUGAGUCUUGUAGAGGGGGGUAGAAUUCUAGGUGUAGCGGUGAAAUGCGUAGAGAUCUGGAGGAAUACCGGUGGCGAAGGCGGCCCCCUGGACAAAGACUGACGCUCAGGUGCGAAAGCGUGGGGAGCAAACAGGAUUAGAUACCCUGGUAGUCCACGCCGUAAACGAUGUCUACUUGGAGGUUGUGCCCUUGAGGCGUGGCUUCCGGAGCUAACGCGUUAAGUAGACCGCCUGGGGAGUACGGCCGCAAGGUUAAAACUCAAAUGAAUUGACGGGGGCCCGCACAAGCGGUGGAGCAUGUGGUUUAAUUCGAUGCAACGCGAAGAACCUUACCUGGUCUUGACAUCCACAGAACUUUCCAGAGAUGGACUGGUGCCUUCGGGAACUGUGAGACAGGUGCUGCAUGGCUGUCGUCAGCUCGUGUUGUGAAAUGUUGGGUUAAGUCCCGCAACGAGCGCAACCCUUAUCCUUUGUUGCCAGCGGUCCGGCCGGGAACUCAAAGGAGACUGCCAGUGAUAAACUGGAGGAAGGUGGGGAUGACGUCAAGUCAUCAUGGCCCUUACGACCAGGGCUACACACGUGCUACAAUGGCGCAUACAAAGAGAAGCGACCUCGCGAGAGCAAGCGGACCUCAUAAAGUGCGUCGUAGUCCGGAUUGGAGUCUGCAACUCGACUCCAUGAAGUCGGAAUCGCUAGUAAUCGUGGAUCAGAAUGCCACGGUGAAUACGUUCCCGGGCCUUGUACACACCGCCCGUCACACCAUGGGAGUGGGUUGCAAAAGAAGUAGGUAGCUUAACCUUCGGGAGGGCGCUUACCACUUUGUGAUUCAUGACUGGGGUGAAGUCGUAACAAGGUAACCGUAGGGGAACCUGCGGUUGGAUCACCUCCUUA